rnacentral:lncRNA from 10 species
AAUAUGUAGCGGGGAGAUCGGACCAAGGAGGGUGAGAAGAAUACAAAGAAAGAGGUGCAGGGGUACUCCUGCGGUUUUGCAAGGUGGAAAGAGAAUAGCUUGUGAGAGUGUAUGAGUGGAAUGAAGUGGUCAGAUGAGAGAGCGCGGCGGAGAUGGAGAGAAGCGGAGAACUUGAUGCAUAUUUUGGAGGCAAAAUCAACAAGAUUGGCUGA